rnacentral:misc_RNA from 1 species
GUGGGAGCGAGCCUGCUCGCGAUGGCGGUGUGUCAGUCAACGUGUCUGCUGAUUGAUCCAUCGCUAUCGCGAGCAGGCUCGCUCCCAC